GAUGAACGCUGGCGGCGUGCCUAAUACAUGCAAGUCGAGCGAAUGGAUUAAGAGCUUGCUCUUAUGAAGUUAGCGGCGGACGGGUGAGUAACACGUGGGUAACCUGCCCAUAAGACUGGGAUAACUCCGGGAAACCGGGGCUAAUACCGGAUAAUAUUUUGAACUGCAUGGUUCAAAAUUGAAAGGCGGCUUCGGCUGUCACUUAUGGAUGGACCCGCGUCGCAUUAGCUAGUUGGUGAGGUAACGGCUCACCAAGGCAACGAUGCGUAGCCGACCUGGGAGGGUGAGCGGCCACACUGGGACUGAGACACGGCCCAGACUCCGACGGGAGGCAGCAGUAGGGAAUCUUCCGCAAUGGACGAAAGUCUGACGGAGCAACGCCGCGUGAGUGAUGAAGGCUUUCGGGUCGUAAAACUCUGUUGUUAGGGAAGAACAAGUGCUAGUUGAAUAAGCUGGCACCUUGACGGUACCUAACCAGAAAGCCACGGCUAACUACGUGCCAGCCGCCGCAGUAA
rnacentral:rRNA from 1 species